UUGUAAUAACGGAGGUGCUGAGGCUGUCGCUAACUUUGUGCACGCCCCAGUGCUCUCUCACAAUCCAUCUCACCCCUUUGUGCAUCACCGCGUGGGUGCUCUCCUUUUGAUUCAUUUCGAAAGGGGGCAUUUGCGUUUUUAUACAAAAACCACUGCAUGUGUAGAAUGUCUUACUAUUUGCGAUAAUGCGCAAUCAAUA
rnacentral:misc_RNA from 1 species